GAGUUUGAUCCUGGCUCAGGAUGAACGCUAGCGACAGGCUUAACACAUGCAAGUCGAGGGGCAGCGGUGGUGAAGGCUUGCCUUUACCAGCCGGCGACCGGCGCACGGGUGAGUAACACGUAUGCAACCUGCCUGCCACAGCCGGAUAAUCGGGAGAAAUUCCGUCUAAUACGGCAUAAUGCAUCGACGGGACAUCCUGUUGGUGCCAAAGGUUGAUUCCGGUGGCGGAUGGGCAUGCGUCGCAUUAGUUAGUUGGCGGUGUAACGGACCACCAAGACGACGAUGCGUAGGGGUUCUGAGAGGAAGGUCCCUCACACUGGGUACUGAGACACGGGACCAGACUCCUACGGGAGGCAGCAGUGAGGAAUAUUGGUCAAUGGGCGGGAGCCUGAACCAGCCAAGUCGCGUGAGGGAUGACGGCCCUAUGGGUUGUAAACCUCUUUUGCCGGGGAGCAAAGUGCCGCACGUGUGCGGUUUGGAGAGUACCCGGAGAAAAGCAUCGGCUAACUCCGUGCCAGCACG
rnacentral:rRNA from 1 species